rnacentral:rRNA from 1 species
GAUAAACGCUGGCGGCGUGCAUGAGACAUGCAAGUCGAACGAACGAGCUUGCUCGUUAGUGGCGGACGGCUGAGUAACGCGUGGGUGACCUGCCCCGAAGUGGGGGAUAACUGCCCGAAAGGGUGGCUAAUACCGCAUGUGGUGAUGUGUUCAUUCGAAUCAUCAAAGCAGCGAUGCGCUUCGGGAGGGGCCUGCGUCCGAUUAGCUCGUUGGUGGGGUAACGGCUCACCAAGGCGGCGAUCGGUAGGUGGUCUGCGAGGACGAUCACCCAGACUGGGACUGAGACACGGCCCAGACUCCUACGGGAGGCAGCAGUCGGGAAUUUUGCUCAAUGGGGGAAACCCUGAAGCAGCAACGCCGCGUGAGGGAUGAAGGCCUUCGGGUUGUAAACCUCUUUUCUCAGGGACGAUGAUGACGGUACCUGAGGAAUAAGUCACGGCUAACUACGUGCCAGCCGCCGCGGUAACAC